rnacentral:rRNA from 1 species
CCUACGGGGGGCAGCAGUGGGGAAUAUUGCGCAAUGGGCGAAAGCCUGACGCAGCGACGCCGCGUGAGGGAUGAAGGUCUUCGGAUCGUAAACCUCUGUCAGCAGGGAAGUACGGUCACUGUGCUAAUCAGCAGUGAAUUGACGGUACCUGCAAAGGAAGCACCGGCUAACUCCGUGCCAGCAGCCUCGGUAAUACGGAGGGUGCGAGCGUUAAUCGGAUUUACUGGGAGUAAAGCGCUCGUAGGCGGUAUGUCAAGUCAAGGGUGAAAUCCCCGGGCCCAACGUGGGAACUGCCUUUGAAACUGGCAGACUGGAGUGCGGGAGGGGUAAGCGGAAUUCCUAGUGUAGCGGUGAAAGGCGUAGAUAUUAGGAGGAACACCGGUGGCGAAGGCGGCUUACUGGACCGUAACUGACGUUGAGGCUCGAAAGCGUGGGGAGCAAACAGGAUGAGAUACCCCAGUAGUC